GACGAACGCUGGCGGCGUGCUUAACACAUGCAAGUCGAACGGAAAGGCCCUGCUUUUGUGGGGUGCUCGAGUGGCGAGCGGGUGAGUAACACGUGAGUAACCUGCCCUUGACUUUGGGAUAACUUCAGGAAACUGGGGCUAAUACCGGAUAGGAGCUCCUGCUGCAUGGUGGGGGUUGGAAAGUUUCGGCGGUUGGGGAUGGACUCGCGGCUUAUCAGCUUGUUGGUGGGGUAGUGGCUUACCAAGGCUUUGACGGGUAGCCGGCCUGAGAGGGUGACCGGCCACAUUGGGACUGAGAUACGGCCCAGACUCCUACGGGAGGCAGCAGUGGGGAAUAUUGCACAAUGGGCGGAAGCCUGAUGCAGCAACGCCGCGUGCGGGAUGACGGCCUUCGGGUUGUAAACCGCUUUCGCCUGUGACGAAGCGUGAGUGACGGUAAUGGGUAAAGAAGCACCGGCUAACAACGUG
rnacentral:rRNA from 1 species